CGCCCCACUUCUCAACCGUUCCCGCCUAAAACCUUUAGGCGCCUUAUUGCCGACUCCUGGUGUACCACUUGUCCUUAUUGGCUCAUACGUGGGUUAAGUCGGCAUGUUAAUUUCAAUUUUGGCAUCAACACCUGGUUAUUAGUAUUUCAAAACGAGUUUCCGGAUAGGAAACAUUUUAACUGAUAGAUGUGGAUUUAUGGAUAUUUGUGAUGAACUGACUGUGGAUGUGAAUGGUGUAUGGAUAUGUGGAUGUUCAUAUGUGGUUGUUGUAUCUUGUAUUGUGUAUCUUGUACUUGAGCGACACCGUGUAAAUACAGGAGAGACUCUGUCUAUGUGUACAGUAGACUCCCUAUAUUUGUGGUGGAUCUGGCAUACCUUAUGGGUUAGAAUUUUUUUUUAAAAAAAAUUUGGGCACUUCUGCAUUGAAUUUAUAUUAAAAAGGGACCCCGGGGCGUGACAGCUAUAUUGACGCAUCAAGAAUUGUAGAAGGCACUGUUGGGAAAAGAAGAGAUUUGACAGCCGAGCAGAAGGAGUAAAUUGAUAAUAAAGCUCUUACGGCAAUACAAUUAUAUUUAUUUGAUGAGGU
rnacentral:lncRNA from 1 species